rnacentral:rRNA from 1 species
GAUGAACGCUGGCGGCGUGCCUAAUACAUGCAAGUCGAGCGAACAGACGAGGAGCUUGCUCCUCUGACGUUAGCGGCGGACGGGUGAGUAACACGUGGAUAACCUACCUAUAAGACUGGGAUAACUUCGUGAAACCGGAGCUAAUACCGGAUAAUAUAUUUAACCGCAUGGUUCAAUAGUGAAAGACGGUUUUGCUGUCACUUAUAGAUGGAUCCGCGCCGCAUUAGCUAGUUGGUAAGGUAACGGCUUACCAAGGCAACGAUGCGUAGCCGACCUGAGAGGGGGAUCGGCCACACUGGAACUGAGACACGGUCCAGACUCCUACGGGAGGCAGCAGUAGGGAAUCUUCCGCAAUGGGCGAAAGCCUGACGGAGCAACGCCGCGUGAGUGAUGAAGGUCUUCGGAUCGUAAAACUCUGUUAUUAGGGAAGAACAAAUGUGUAAGUAACUAUGCACGUCUUGACGGUACCUAAUCAGAAAGCCACGGCUAACUACGUG